AUACGUAGGGAGCGAGCGUUGUCCGGAAUUACUGGGCGUAAAGGGCGCGUAGGCGGCGUUUCAAGUCGUCUGUCAAAUGGGAGGGCUUAACCCUUUUUCGCAGACGAAACUGGAGAGCUUGAGAAGCAGAGAGGCAAACAGAAUUCCUGGUGUAGCGGUGAAAUGCGUAGAUAUCAGGAAGAAUACCAGUGGCGAAGGCGGUUUGCUGGCCGCAUACUGACGCUGAAGCGCGAAAGCCAGGGGAGCAAACGGGAUUAGAUACCCCGGUAGUCCUGGCAGUAAACGAUGUAUGCUGGGUGUGAGACUAGCGAUAGUUUCGUGCCGAAGUUAACGCGAUAAGCAUACCGCCUGGGGAGUACGGUCGCAAGAUUGAAACUCAAAGGAAUUGGCGGGG
rnacentral:rRNA from 1 species